UACAGAGGUCUCAAGCGUUGUUCGGAUUCAUUGGGCGUAAAGGGUGCGUAGGCGGUUUUGUAAGUCUUAUGUGAAAUCUAUGGGCUCAACUCAUAGACUGCAUGAGAAACUGCAGGGCUUGAGUAUGGGAGAGGUGAGUGGAAUUCCUGGUGUAGCGGUGAAAUGCGUAGAUAUCAGGAGGAACACCUGUGGCGAAAGCGGCUCACUGGACCAUAACUGACGCUGAUGCACGAAAGCUAGGGGAGCAAACAGG
rnacentral:rRNA from 1 species